rnacentral:rRNA from 1 species
CCUACGGGAGGCAGCAGUGAGGAAUAUUGGUCAAUGGCCGGAAGGCUGAACCAGCCAUGCCGCGUGAAGGUCAGUGCCCUAUGGGCGUUAAACUUCUUUUGUGCGGGAGCAAUAAUGGUCACGUGUGGCCAGACGAGAGUACCGUACGAAUAAGCAUCGGCUAACUCCGUGCCAGCAGCCGCGGUAAUACGGGGGAUGCAAGCGUUAUCCGGAUUUAUUGGGGUUAAAGGGUGCGUAGGCUGUGAGGUAAGUCAGCGGUGAAAUGCCCCCGCUCAACGGGGUGAAGUGCCAUUGAUACUGCCUUGCUGGAAUGCGGAUGCCGUGGGAGGAAUGUGUGGGGUAGCGGUGAAAUGCAUAGAUAUCACACAGAACACCGAUUGCGAAGGCAUCUCACGAAUCCGCGAUUGACGCUGAUGCACGAAAGCGUGGGUAUCAAACAGGAUUAGAUACCCCAGUAGUC